rnacentral:rRNA from 1 species
GACGAACGCUGGCGGCGUGCUUAACACAUGCAAGUCGAACGAUGAACCCGGAGCUUGCUCUGGGGGAUUAGUGGCGAACGGGUGAGUAACACGUGAGUAACCUGCCCUGGACUCUGGGAUAAGCGUUGGAAACGACGUCUAAUACCGGAUAGGACCUUGGAUCGCAUGAUCUGGGGUGGAAAGUUUUUUCGGUCUGGGAUGGACUCGCGGCCUAUCAGCUUGUUGGUGAGGUAAUGGCUCACCAAGGCGUCGACGGGUAGCCGGCCUGAGAGGGUGACCGGCCACACUGGGACUGAGACACGGCCCAGACUCCUACGGGAGGCAGCAGUGGGGAAUAUUGCACAAUGGGCGAAAGCCUGAUGCAGCAACGCCGCGUGCGGGAUGACGGCCUUCGGGUUGUAAACCGCUUUUAGUAGGGAAGAAGGGCUUCGGCUUGACGGUACCUGCAGAAAAAGGGCCGGCUAACUACGUG